GAAAAGCAGAACAUUUAUAAUUUAGGGAUAAAUAAUAAUGUUGCUGGAGGAUAAAAAUAACAUGAAAGUUAUUAACUGUAGCAGUAAUGGCUAUUUCAAAUGGUAAUGAAAAGCAGUCUGCUCUGUAGCUGAACUAUUAAAUAAAGACCCAAACAAUGUUUUUCAAUCACACCAGCAUCACUCGCAUUACAUAGCUUUUCCAGAGUUUUACAGAGGAUCCAGUUUGAUAUUGCUUUCUGAAGAAGCAUCUGGCAAACUUGGAAAAUCACAUGGAUGCCGUCUGACACACUGGUCUGACCACUGGUUUUGUUGGAAUUGCACUGGACUGAAAUUUUUCCAACAAGCCUCUGGACCAUUCCUAUCACCCAAGAUAACCCUCAGUGAAGCACUUUGUAGCACACUGCUGAACUCACCGUACUAAAUCCUGAUGUUGUCCAGCUGUCCUUGGCUACAAUGCAGGAAUGAGAGAAGAGCGCUAUGGGUACAAAUCUGGUGAAAUAUAAAAGAGAAACGCCAAGAGAAACGCCAAGAGAAACCACUACUGAAAUAAAAUCAACAUUAAAUGAAGACGCUGGGACAGGUCGGGGACAAGUGCAUACCUUCCUGAACUUCCCUGGUUUGUCCUUCAUCGGUACAUCAAACCUUUACGUGCCAUGUUAGAGCACUCUGACAGCUAUUCCGCCUAUAGUGACAACAAAGCAGGACCCCCAUACAGCUAAAAGGAAGAAAAACUGUUAAAUAAAGUGGGUUACUAUAUUGUCUUUGCUUUAGCC
rnacentral:lncRNA from 1 species